rnacentral:rRNA from 1 species
GUGGGGAAUAUUGGACAAUGGGCGCAAGCCUGAUCCAGCCAUGCCGCGUGAGUGAAGAAGGCCUUCGGGUUGUAAAGCUCUUUUGGCGGGGACGAUAAUGACGGUACCCGCAGAAUAAGCUCCGGCUAACUUCGUGCCAGCAGCCGCGGUAAUACGAAGGGAGCUAGCGUUGUUCGGAAUCACUGGGCGUAAAGCGCACGUAGGCGGACUUGUCAGUCAGGGGUGAAAUCCUGAGGCUCAACCUCAGAACUGCCUCCGAUACAGCAAGUCUUGAGUCCGGGAGAGGUGAGUGGAAUUCCUAGUGUAGAGGUGAAAUUCGUAGAUAUUAGGAAGAACACCAGUGGCGAAGGCGGCUCACUGGCCCGGUACUGACGCUGAGGUGCGAAAGCGUGGGGAGCAAACAGGAUUAGAUACCCCAGUAGUCC